GACAAACGCUGGCGGCGUGCCUAAAACAUGCAAGUCGAACGGACUCUUCGGAGUCAGUGGCGGACGGCUGAGUAACACGUAGGUGACCUGCCCUUGAGUGGGGAAUAACGGUCCGAAAGGAUCGCUAAUACCGCAUACGACCGCUGCAUUUUGGUGUGGUGAGGAAAGCCGAAAGGCGCUCGAGGAGGGCCUGCGUCCGAUUAGCUAGUUGGUGGGUAAAGGCCUACCAAGGCGACGAUCGGAGCUGGUCUAAGAGGAUGAUCAGCCAGACUGGGACU
rnacentral:rRNA from 1 species